rnacentral:rRNA from 1 species
UACGAAGGGGGCUAGCGUUGCUCGGAAUCACUGGGCGUAAAGGGUGCGUAGGCGGAUCUUUAAGUCAGGGGUGAAAUCCUGGAGCUCAACUCCAGAACUGCCUUUGAUACUGAAGAUCUUGAGUUCGGGAGAGGUGAGUGGAACUGCGAGUGUAGAGGUGAAAUUCGUAGAUAUUCGCAAGAACACCAGUGGCGAAGGCGGCUCACUGGCCCGGUACUGACGCUGAAGCGCGACAGCGUGGGGAGCAAACGGG